AGUCGAACGGUAGCAGGAAGUGCUUGCACUUCGCUGACGAGUGGCGGACGGGUGAGUAAUGCUUGGGAACUUGCCUUUAGGUGGGGGAUAACAGUUGGAAACGACUGCUAAUACCGCAUAAUGUCUACGGACCAAAGGGGGCUUCGGCUCCCGCCUUGAGAGAGGCCCAAGUGAGAUUAGCUAGUUGGUGGGGUAAAGGCCUACCAAGGCAACGAUCUCUAGCUGUUCUGAGAGGAAGAUCAGCCACACUGGGACUGAGACACGGCCCAGACUCCUACGGGAGGCAGCAGUGGGGAAUAUUGCACAAUGGGGGAAACCCUGAUGCAGCCAUGCCGCGUGUGUGAAGAAGGCCUUCGGGUUGUAAAGCACUUUCAGUUGUGAGGAAAGGUUGGUAGUUAAUACCUGCCAGCUGUGACGUUAACAACAGAAGAAGCACCGGCUAACUCCGUGCCAGCAGCCGCGGUAAUACGGAGGGUGCGAGCGUUAAUCGGAAUUACUGGGCGUAAAGCGCACGCAGGCGGCUUGUUAAGCUAGAGGUGAAAGCCCCGCGCUCAACGUGGGAACUGCCUUUAGAACUGGCAGGCUAGAGUCUUGGAGAGGGGAGUGGAAUUCCAGGUGUAGCGGUGAAAUGCGUAGAUAUCUGGAGGAACAUCAGUGGCGAAGGCGGCUCCCUGGCCAAAGACUGACGCUCAUGUGCGAAAGUGUGGGUAGCGAACAGGAUUAGAUACCCUGGUAGUCCACACCGUAACGCUGUCUACUAGCUGUUUGUGUAUUUAAUACGUGAGUAGCGAAGCUAACGCGCUAAGUAGACCGCCU
rnacentral:rRNA from 1 species